CAUUAGAAUUCGUAGUGGCUCAAUUUUCGUGGAAUUCGUGGGUGCCCCUCACCCACAAAUUUACAUCCUCAACGAAUAAAGACAACUAGUAUACAAGAAUCUUACAAAUAUAUAAAUCCAUGAAAUUACGUCCCCAUGAACCCGUAAAAAAUCAGUAAUCCAUGAAAAUUGGCCCCCACGAAUUUAAAUGAUUCUACAGUAAUAGACCUAUCAAAAUAGAGGGUAUGACCUAUUAAUAGACCUAUCAGGAUAGAGGGUAUGACCUUUGUAUCACAUUACAUUAAGGUUCAUGGUCUCCUGUGGUUAUACAUGUAGUCAUGGCAACUCUUUCGCUGACAAUCUUGGUUACAAAUGGAGACUAAUACAACUACUCCCAAAAUUGACGACAUUCAACCGGUUUAUUUUUCCUUCAUUUUUUUUCUCAGCAGAUCAAUACUCCUUGCCCGAGAAAACAAGCACUGAUAUAUGUCAUCAGGUUCUGCUUGGACAAAGUGCAGCAUUACUGACAAUUCAAAACAAAUCAUAAAUCAAUACAAGAUUCAUAUAACUACUGCAACAUGCCUGAAAUAUCCUUGCUUGGCAUUCAAACAUGCUCUCCAUCAUCAUCAUAUCAUCAGGAUGUCUGUACAGUUCUUUUAAAUUGAACAUUGUUAUGCAUAUUUGAUGGAAUAAAACACCACUUCACAAGCUACCGACAACUCUUGAUGACUAAAAAUGGAGUCCUUUAUCCAUCUUGGGAUAUUCUUUUUUCGACUGAUUAAUUUUGUUCAGCACGGAAUUUCUUUUUCUUGUUAUCAGUAUCCUGUAGGCUGGGGGACUUUUUUAAAUCAGUAAUCAUGUGUCAUAAGAGGCGACUAAAUGGGGCGGUUCUUCGGAUGAGACCACAAAAACUGAGGCCCUGUGUGACAGCAGGUGUGGCACGAUAAAGAUCCUUCCCUGCUCAAAUGUCGUAAGCGCUGAGCAUGGCCUAAAUUUUGCAGCCCUUCAACGGGAAUGAGUAAAAAAUUCUUGAGUGGGACGUUAAAUAAUUAUUAAUCAAUCAGUAAUUCUGUAGGCUGGGAGUGUUCCACUUAUCAGUAAUCCUGUAGGCUGGGAGAUUUCCCCUUUUGUUUCACCUUACCCCAGGACACCCUCUCUGACCUAAUUUUCAGACUCUGUAUCACACACUAAGGUAUUCCAGGCUGCUGAUGGUGUAAACAUGAUUAUUGAUUUCUACUGCAUCAAGAACUCCAUCUAUGGGACUGUUUGACCAAUAGAAGGUGUAUGAAGACUGUUUAUUAAUAUUUGAAGAUGAAAGAAAAACCACUGUUUAUCAAUAUUUGAAGAGGAAAGAAAAACCAUACCACUAAGCUGUAGUGGACUUCAGCCACUGCGUUUUGCAGCUGUAAAAGAAUGUGACUUUAACCUUUGUAUCAGCCACUUUGAUACUCAAUCUAAUGAACUGGUCUUUGCUUUGUAGGAAUAAUUGAGAGCAUCAAUUUGCAUGAGAGCUUAAUGGUCUAAUCCAAAUACUGAGCAAGCAACAGAAAAUUGAUAAGCUUACUUAAUCUCUCUCUCAAUGGAGAUAAUUCUUAAACAUCCAAAUCUAAUUAACACACUGAGAAUUCAGAACACAGAGGCAAAAUAAUGGGCAAAAAAUCCAGUUUUGGGAGGAAAAAAGAUUGUUAUCAAUUAGCAAAGACAUAACAGCAACAUAACUCACUCCCAACAAGGUCGUUUGAAUGUUUUACAGUUUCCUUCAUUGAUGCUAACUCAAUUUAUAUGAUUUGGUCUUGACACUAUUUUGCUCCUCAGGAAGUAGAACUUCCAUUAUUUGCUGUUGUUCAGGAGUCGCUACAACUUCAUAACUAAGCAUCCUAUUAACAAACUUUACUGUAAACUUUGAAUUUUCAUGUUCGAUGACGCUGUAAUACUGUCUCAGAAUUGGAAUAUUUGGCAGAUUACGUAAAAGUUGAAGGCCUAUAAUUUUUCAUCACUAAUCCUUGUGGAUCCCUAAUUUUUGUUGAUCUAGAUAUAGUGCUUGUUCAUUUUAUAUGCUGUAAAAUCACUUUUCAUUUAUGGAAAUUUUAUUUUCAUCCGCAAAGUUCUCUUAAUGUGAAAAUGACUUUUCGAUAACGAAUUUGUGUAUGCAAUGGGAGGUUCCUGGAAAUUAUGCUUUACUAAUAAAUUCAACAAUGCGAGAUGGUGAAAAUAAGCUCUUCAGAAAUACAAGUGAAUGACAGUCAAUAAAUAUGUCCACAUAUGUUACAGGUCGACAUUUCUGGUCAGUUUCUUCUUUGUACUUUGUCUGUUUAUGAUGUUGACCUACGACUUUUUCCUCCAUUCAUCAUCUUUCUGACUUACCUGUAAAUUUUGUCUAGUUUAACAAUUGAAACAUAAACUUACAAAUGUCUGUAGAUAUUACAUGCCUUCGAGUUUUUAUCCCCAACUCGUGUUGACCUACAAUUUUGAGUCUAUUGAUGAAACAGACCUACAAUUUUCGUCUCUUUUUCAUUAAUGGAUUUUUAUUUGUCUAUGUUGUUGACAAAAGAUUUUAUGCUUGUUGAUAUCAUGAACCUACAAGUCUACUCGGCUUUUUCCGUAUGGUUACUGUAAACAUUGAUUUUUCGGGUUCAUUUUUGCUUUGAUUUUUCUGUUUGUUGUUUUUGUCUGUUUUAAGUUGUUUUCCAGUAAUUUUGUUGUCUAUGAUUCUGCUUUGAUUUUGUGUUGGUCUGAUUAAAAUUCUAUCUUUUCAUGUUGGUCAAUCAAUUUACUUUAAUCUCACAAUCUGGAACCGUUGUUGAAACUAUACCUACCUAUACAUACAGGGGAGGUUGUUUUACUAGACCUACCUAUAUACCUACCUAUAUACCUACCUAUAUACUGGGGAGGUUGUUUUACUAGACCUACCUAUAUACCUACCUAUAUACUGGGGAGGUUGUUUGACUAAACCUACCUAUAUACUGGGGAGGUUGUUUGACUAGACCUACCUAUAUACUGGGGAGGUUAUUAAACUAGACCUACCUAUAUACAGGGGUGGUUGUUAAACCAGACCUACCUAUAUACUGGGGAGGUUGUUUGACUAAACCUACCUAUAUACUGGGGAGGUUGUUUUACUAGACCUACCUAUAUACUGGGGAGGUUAUUAAACUAGACCUACCUAUAUACAGGGGUGGUUGUUAAACCAGACCUACCUAUAUACUGGGGAGGUUGUUAAACUAGACCUACCUAUAUACAGGUGUGGUUGUUAAGCCCGACCUACCUAUAUACAGGGGUGGUUGUUAAACCAGACCUACCUAUAUACUGGGGAGGUUGUUAAACUAUACCUACCUAUAUACUGGGGAGGUUAUUAAACUAGACCUACCUAUAUACUGGAAUGCUUGAUGGAAGAACGGCAACAGUUUAGCGCUGUAGUUGUCGUUGACUGGAAUGCGAUGGAAAUGUCCGUCCUGUACAAACGGGGACUUGGGGCAUGUGAUGCUGACGUUGAGGAUGUACGAUAUGUCAUUUAUCUGAAAAACACCCAAAGACGAGGUUAAAAUUGUAUUGGAAGUUCUAUCAUAAUAAAAAUUGGUUAAGGAGGUGUACUACAUUGUUAUAAUGGCUGACUUCCUUUUAGAAUAUGGAUGAAAAUACAAAUAUCAGCAAAUUUUGUCUAUUCCUUACAUCGACUGCUGAACUGUAGAUCGCAGGUUUGAGUCCAGCAGGGAUUUUAAAUUUUUUUCAGAUAGUUUUCUACUAAAACUGCAUGGGUUUUUUUUUUUUACCAAAAAAAGUAUAGGUGAAA